rnacentral:rRNA from 1 species
UUUAAUUGAAGAGUUUGAUCAUGGCUCAGAUUGAACGCUGGCGGCAGGCCUAACACAUGCAAGUCGAGCGGUAACAGAAAGUAGCUUGCUACUUUGCUGACGAGCGGCGGACGGGUGAGUAAUGCUUGGGAACAUGCCUUGAGGUGGGGGACAACAGUUGGAAACGACUGCUAAUACCGCAUAAUGUCUACGGACCAAAGGGGGCUUCGGCUCUCGCCUUUAGAUUGGCCCAAGUGGGAUUAGCUAGUUGGUGAGGUAAUGGCUCACCAAGGCAACGAUCCCUAGCUGGUUUGAGAGGAUGAUCAGCCACACUGGAACUGAGACACGGUCCAGACUCCUACGGGAGGCAGCAGUGGGGAAUAUUGCACAAUGGGCGCAAGCCUGAUGCAGCCAUGCCGCGUGUGUGAAGAAGG